UACGUAGGGGGCAAGCGUUGUCCGGAUUUAUUGGGCGUAAAGAGCGUGUAGGCGGCCUGACAAGUCCGCUGUGAAAACUCGAGGCUCAACCUCGAGACGUCGGUGGAAACUGUCUCGCUAGAGUCCGGAAGAGGAGAGUGGAAUUCCUGGUGUAGCGGUGAAAUGCGCAGAUAUCAGGAAGAACACCCGUGGCUAAGGCGGCUCUCUAGUACGGUACUGACGCUGAGACGCGAAAGCGUGGGGAGCGAACAGG
rnacentral:rRNA from 1 species